rnacentral:miRNA from 1 species
UUUCAUUGGUCAAUUGCUAA